UGUGGGAGCGAGCUUGCUCGCGAUGGCGGCGAUACAUUCAGCAUUGAUAUUGGCUGACCCACCGCUAUCGCGAGCAAGCUCGCUCCCACA
rnacentral:antisense_RNA from 1 species